UUUCCUCUACCUUACUCCAGAGGCUCUCUAACCAGUAGAGUGCUUUGGCAUUGCCUGAGGAUAUACUGAAGUCAUGCUCAUAUCCCUCCCCAGUAGGAUGCUUGGUUCCCAUUGGGGUCUACAAUUUGAGCAAACAUU
ensembl:snoRNA small nucleolar RNA SNORA49